rnacentral:rRNA from 1 species
GACGAACGCUGGCGGCGUGGAUUAGGCAUGCAAGUCGGACGGUAGGGCUUUAUCGUAAGAUAGAGUUUGAGAGUGGCGAACGGAUGAGUAACACGUAGGAAUCUACCCUUAAGACGGGGACAACCCAGGGAAACUUGGGCUAAUACCGGAUGAGAGUGCGAGAGAUUGCAUUUAAAAGGAUGGCGAAAGUUGUCGCUUAGGGAUGAGCCUGCGGUCUAUUAGUUAGUUGGUGAGGUAAGAGCUCACCAAGGCGAUGAUAGAUAGGCGGCCUUAACGGGUGGUCGCCCACACUGGGAUUGAGAUACGGCCCAGACUCCUACGGGAGGCAGCAGUCGAGAAUAGUCUACAAUGGCCGGAAGGCUGAUAGUGCGACGCCGCGUGAACGAGGGAGCCUCGGUCGGUAAGUUACGUUUACUUUAUUACGUAGACAGUGCGUAUAUAUAUAGUAGUAGUAUAUAUAUAGGAGAGUAGUAUAGAAUAAGAAACGACUAACUACGUCG